UUAGAGUUUGAUCCUGGCUCAGAUUGAACGCUGGCGGCAGGCUUAACACAUGCAAGUCGAGCGGAGAGAGGUAGCUUGCUACUGAUCUUAGCGGCGGACGGGUGAGUAAUGCUUAGGAAUCUGCCUAUUAGUGGGGGACAACAUUUCGAAAGGAAUGCUAAUACCGCAUACGUCCUACAGGAGAAAGCAGGGGAUCUUCGGACCUUGCGCUAAUAGAUGAGCCUAAGUCGGAUUAGCUAGUUGGUGGGGUAAAGGCCUACCAAGGCGACGAUCUGUAGCGGGUCUGAGAGGAUGAUCCGCCACACUGGGACUGAGACACGGCCCAGACUCCUACGGGAGGCAGCAGUGGGGAAUAUUGGACAAUGGGCGCAAGCCUGAUCCAGCCAUGCCGCGUGUGUGAAGAAGGCCUUAUGGUUGUAAAGCACUUUAAGCGAGGAGGAGGCUACUUUAGUUAAUACCUAGAGAUAGUGGACGUUACUCGCAGAAUAAGCACCGGCUAACUCUGUGCCAGCAGCCGCGGUAAUACAGAGGGUGCAAGCGUUAAUCGGAUUUACUGGGCGUAAAGCGCGCGUAGGCGGCUAAUUAAGUCAAAUGUGAAAUCCCCGAGCUUAACUUGGGAAUUGCAUUCGAUACUGGUUAGCUAGAGUGUGGGAGAGGAUGGUAGAAUUCCAGGUGUAGCGGUGAAAUGCGUAGAGAUCUGGAGGAAUACCGAUGGCGAAGGCAGCCAUCUGGCCUAACACUGACGCUGAGGUGCGAAAGCAUGGGGAGCAAACAGGAUUAGAUACCCUGGUAGUCCAUGCCGUAAACGAUGUCUACUAGCCGUUGGGGCCUUUGAGGCUUUAGUGGCGCAGCUAACGCGAUAAGUAGACCGCCUGGGGAGUACGGUCGCAAGACUAAAACUCAAAUGAAUUGACGGGGGCCCGCACAAGCGGUGGAGCAUGUGGUUUAAUUCGAUGCAACGCGAAGAACCUUACCUGGCCUUGACAUAGUAAGAACUUUCCAGAGAUGGAUUGGUGCCUUCGGGAACUUACAUACAGGUGCUGCAUGGCUGUCGUCAGCUCGUGUCGUGAGAUGUUGGGUUAAGUCCCGCAACGAGCGCAACCCUUUUCCUUAUUUGCCAGCGAGUAAUGUCGGGAACUUUAAGGAUACUGCCAGUGACAAACUGGAGGAAGGCGGGGACGACGUCAAGUCAUCAUGGCCCUUACGGCCAGGGCUACACACGUGCUACAAUGGUCGGUACAAAGGGUUGCUACCUAGCGAUAGGAUGCUAAUCUCAAAAAGCCAAUCGUAGUCCGGAUUGGAGUCUGCAACUCGACUCCAUGAAGUCGGAAUCGCUAGUAAUCGCGGAUCAGAAUGCCGCGGUGAAUACGUUCCCGGGCCUUGUACACACCGCCCGUCACACCAUGGGAGUUUGUUGCACCAGAAGUAGCUAGCCUAACUGCAAAGAGGGCGGUUACCACGGUGUGGCCGAUGACUGGGGUGAAGUCGUAACAAGGUAACCGUA
rnacentral:rRNA from 1 species